GAUGAACGCUGGCGGCGUGCCUAAUACAUGCAAGUCGAGCGAACGGACGAGAAGCUUGCUUCUCUGAUGUUAGCGGCGGACGGGUGAGUAACACGUGGAUAACCUACCUAUAAGACUGGGAUAAUUUCGGAAAACAGUAUACAAUACGGGAGAAUAUUUCCAACGGAUGGGUGCAAAGGUGAAUGAGGGCUUGCCGGUCUCUAUGAGACGAUGCCGGGUUGCAUUAGCUAGUUGGUAAGGUAACGGCUUACCAAGGCAACGAUGCUUAGCCGGCCUGAGAGGGUGAUCGGCCACACUGGAACUGAGACACGGUCCAGACUCCUACGGGAGGCAGCAGUAGGGAAUCUUCCGCAAUGGGCGAAAGCCUGACGGAGCAACGCCGCGUGAGUGAUGAAGGUCUUCGGAUCGUAAAACUCUGUUAUUAGGAAAGAACAUAUGUGUAAGUAACUGUGCACAUCUUGACGGUACCUAAUCAGAAAGCCACGGCUAACUACGUG
rnacentral:rRNA from 1 species